UCAUUUCAAAUUUUCUGCAAUCCUGCUACAUCUCCUUCUCGUAGUUGAAGAUCCAAUUUCGAAAUCCCUUUGACAUGGAAAUCCCCCAAGAAACUGAUGAUUACAUAACAGAAUCAAUCGAUCAAAGCAUCGGUUUGAAGAUUUUAAACUUCAAGCUGUCGAAGCGUCGCGGACUCACCUCCGUCGCCAGUAUCCCUCUCUGCAAUCCAAGCUAAAAGAGAAAGAUGACACCAUUGAACGAUCUAGGGUUUGUAUUUGCUGCUUCUCUUCGAAUUUCACUUUCAGAAUUUUCGAUUUUUGAAGAAGGAAUUGUUUGGGCUAAGGCGAGCAUCAAUGCGGUGGCUUUGAAGGAAAACCAGAAAUUGGCGACGGAAUGCUCUAAUCUGUUGGCGACGUGCAAUAAGUGGAAGAGAGAGUGCUCGCUCUAUGACCACGAUCGUGAAGCUUUGAUGGAUUUUGCAAACGAGGCGGACGAGAGAGCCAAGGAAGCUGAGGUUGAGGCGUUGAGCAGUUGGUGGUGUUGUGAGAUUGAGAAGAGGUUGUUGCUAUAGUUCCAAAGAAUGUCAUGUUUUCACCUGGCAACAGCUGCAGCAUCUCUACAUCAGCAAGUCUACUAUUCAAUAAAUCCCAGCCAAAAAAGAGGCAGAAUUUGCAAUAUGGUUUAAGAAUCAGGGCUCUUCUGCAGAUGAUGCCGAUGACUGCAAUGAAGAAGAAUAUGCCCCUGAUAAAGAGAUUACUUCCUUAAAUCUCAUACAUUCCUCAAAUGAAUAUAAAUUGACGCAUUUCAAUCCUGAGUUG